ensembl:lncRNA
GUUUGGAGUGGAGCCAUGCUACAGAAGCAGGAAAGAUUGUACCUCCUUGAAGAACCCAAAUGGAAGGACCCCUUGCAGAUGCAGAGCUGUUGUUGUUGCCGCCGCCGUACUCUGCUUCAGUUCGGUGCUAGUUUUUACUUGGUUGGCAAUGGAAAAGCAGCCCCCACCUUUAACUGGAAGCUCCAUGAUUCAGAUGGUGAGUAGAACACAGCCAAAGGAGCUGUCUCAAUAUGUGCCCAGAGUUUGCCCAGUUAUUCUUGUAGGCAGCAACCAGGACUGGUUAACUCAUGUCACAGCCUAUAACUUAAAGACAGCACAGAAGAAAGUAGGAGCCUGCUAGUAACAGGCAUGUUGAUAGAAUACAUUACUUCUCAAUACAUUUUUUAAAAAAGCUAACAAUGAGGCAAAUAAUUACAUAGUUGAGGCAAUCACUUGCUAAAAGAUAUUCCUCACAUUUCUUAUAGCCCUUUGUGUUCUAUGAAAUGUUCUACAUGUAACAGAGCUUAUUGGGUAUUCACAAUAACACAACAUGAAUGUAACUUCAUCAAGAUAAAGUGAAUUAGACUGAGCAUGCUGUUUAAGAAGGCAGGAGGUAGACUACCAUACCUAAGAGACUAGCAUCAAAAAUAACUACAAAUGUAAAAUUUUGGCACUUAAGAGAUAUGCAUUAGUUAUCCAAACAGAAUUCAUAUAUAUGGAUUCCUUCAUGACCAACAGAAGGUGUUACUAAGUGGACCUAUACAGCACCCAAGGACCACUGGUUGGUCACUGAAUGAGGAUGAUUGUCAUCAGGAAGUUACCAGGCCAUAUCUCCUGCUUUUACAAAAGCCUAACAAAAGCCUGGCAUGGUGGUGCAUGCCUUUAAUCUCAGCACUUAGGAGGCAAAGGCAGAGGGAACUCCGAGCUGGCCUCAAGCUCACUAAGUAUCCACCUGCCUCUGCCUCCCCAGUUCUGGGAUUAAAGGCAUGUGCCACCACCCCCAGAUAUGAUCACACUUUUUUAAAAAUAAUUUUUAUGUUCACUGGUGUUUUGCCUGCAUGGAUGUCUGUGUAAAGUGUCAAGCCCUGGAACUGGAGUUAUAGAGAGUUGUGAGCUGCUAUGUGGGUGCUGGGAAUUGAACCUGGGUCCUCUGGAAAAGCAACCAGUGCUCUUAACUGCUGACCCAUCUCUCCAGCCCCAUGAUCACUUUUGAAAAGUCUCUUAUUUUAGCCCUUCAUUUCCUGAUUAAAAAAAAAACAACUAUUAUAUAUUGGAUGCAUCUAAGUCAUUCAACAUAGUAUUCCCAUUAAUAGAGUUGUGAAGGAAGAGUUUAGCCAGAAUGACUUCCAACAGUAAUAACUUCAUUAACAAUUAAGAUGAUUUAAUAAAACAGUAAAAAAUACCAGAUUUUUAGACUGUUAAAAUGGGACCUUAAGAUGGUAAUAUGUAUCUUUUUUCAAUAGCAUAGGCUUUCUGAGGCCCUUCAAUUCUUGGUUAAUACUGUCUGAUUUUUGUCUUGACCCUUGACUAUACCUCAGAGAGAGCAAAGGCUCCUUGCUAUGUUUGCUGGUUCUUUUCAGUUCUCAUCUAUGUGGCUUUGCUUUCACACAAAGCUGACUAUCCUCUACAUUUUUUCAAAAUCACAAGUGGUUGUCCUGCUUAAUUUUUCACGUGUAUGCCUGGGGUUAAGAUCUUUAGUCUCAUGGAAACAUCAGUGCUUGCAAUGUUCUUUUACGCAGUUGUGAAGGGAAUGAGGCCAGCCUUGUAAUAAAAAUUUGCAGAAGAUACUGAGCACAUAAAUUAACAGACCAGUAUAGCUCAUCCUUCAUGAACCAAGGGGCAAAAUGGUAGAGGAGUAAGUACAGACUUAGUGAUAAAUAAACAGGCAAACAUGGAUCUGAAUCCAGUGCUGCCACCACCAACUGGCUUCAGGCAAGUCACUUCAUUUUUCUGACCCACUGCUACCUUCAACAUGAUCUGAGGCUUAUUCCACCUACCUUGUAAGAGGUCUUUAUAGGGGUCAGUAGCAAAGCAGACACAUUCUUUAACACAUAGUAGGUAUUCAAAAACAAUGAUUCAAGAACCCCUGGCUUGACUUAGGUGACAUGUGGGCAUACCAUCUGAUACAGAACUCUUUCCAAACUGUUAACAUUUAUGGAAUCUUCUUUUGAAUGUCAAUUUAAUCUUUAUACUUAAUAGUUUGUAAUUGUGGUAGUUUUAAUUGUAAUAUUUUCCUUCUAAACUAUUCUCUUUGGGGAAGUUUUUUUCAAAGCUAUGGAAGCAAGUCUAUGGUUUUCAGUGUGCUUUGUUGUUUUUUCAACGACUACAAAAUUUCCAGCUUUUCCAACAUCUAUGAUAAGAAGAUCUAAUUUUCGUUUGUUUUUUGUUUUUUUGAGACAG